rnacentral:rRNA from 1 species
ACGCACGCUGGCGGCGUGCUUCACCCCUGCAAGUCGCACGGAAAGGCCCUGCUUUUGUGGGGUGCUCGAGUGGCGAACGGGUGAGUAACACGUGAGUAACCUGCCCUUGACUUUGGGAUAACUUCAGGAAACUGGGGCUAAUACCGGAUAGGAGCUCCUGCUGCAUGGUGGGGGUUGGAAAGUUUCGGCGGUUGGGGAUGGACUCGCGGCUUAUCAGCUUGUUGGUGGGGUAGUGGCUUACCAAGGCUUUGACGGGUAGCCGGCCUGAGAGGGUGACCGGCCACAUUGGGACUGAGAUACGGCCCAGACUCCUACGGGAGGCAGCAGUGGGGAAUAUUGCACAAUGGGCGGAAGCCUGAUGCAGCAACGCCGCGUGCGGGAUGACGGCCUUCGGGUUGUAAACCGCUUUCGCCUGUGACGAAGCGUGAGUGACGGUAAUGGGUAAAGAAGCACCGGCUAACUACGUG